UACGUAGGGUGCAAGCGUUAAUCGGAAUUACUGGGCGUAAAAGCGUGCGCAGGCGGUUAUGCAAGACAGAUGUGAAAAUCCCCCGGGCUUAACCUGGGAAUCGCAUUUGUGACUGCAUAGCUGGAGUACGGCAGAGGGGGAUGGAAUUCCGCGUGUAGCAGUGAAAUGCGUAGAUAUGCGGAGGAACACCGAUGGCGAAGGCAGUCCCCCUGGGCCUGUACUGACGCUCAUGCACGAAAGCGUGGGGGAGCAAACAGG
rnacentral:rRNA from 1 species